rnacentral:rRNA from 1 species
ACGAGCGGCGAACGGGUGAGUAACACGUGGGUGACCUGCCCUCCACUCUGGGAUAAGCCUGGGAAACUGGGUCUAAUACCGGAUAUGACUUCAUGCCGCAUGGUGUGGGGUGGAAAGCUUUAUGUGGUGGGGGAUGGACCCGCGGCCUAUCAGCUUGUUGGUGGGGUAAUGGCCUACCAAGGCGACGACGGGUAGCCGGCCUGAGAGGGCGACCGGCCACACUGGGACUGAGACACGGCCCAGACUCCUACGGGAGGCAGCAGUGGGGAAUAUUGCACAAUGGGCGAAAGCCUGAUGCAGCGACGCCGCGUGAGGGAUGACGGCCCUCGGGUUGUAAACCUCUUUCAGCAGGGACGAAGCGAGAGUGACGGUACCUGCAGAAGAAGCACCGGCCAACUACGUGCCAGCAGCCGCGGUAAUACGUAGGGUGCGAGCGUUGUCCGGAAUUACUGGGCGUAAAGAGCUCGUAGGCGG